GGGGAGAAACGGCGCAGCUGGGACUCUGUGCUGUGGCAGCCUAAGCGAACCUCUUCACGGGCUAAUGACAAUUGCAGGCAUUGUUGGGCUGUGUCCUAAGGUGAAUCAACAUAAAGAAAAGCCCUGGCUGCUCGUGCACUGAUAACUUCAUCUUUUCGGACAUCUGGGAACUACCGCCACAAUGUCUGGAAAAAAAAUGACUUCAAACUAAUGCAGCAGAGGCAAACCAUGGUUUGGCCAAAAAUGGAACAGAAUUUACAAGGGAAAAGGGAAGUUCCUGGAGUAAUAUGUGUAGGUCAGAUGAGGAUGGAACUGGUGAAUGAGCAGAAGAGAAGGUUGGAAGAGUGCAGUGGUGAUGACAGCCCUCCGCUGCUCCUUCCCCAGAGGAAGGAGCUCCAGUAAGUAAAUCAAAUCAACACCAUACCUCCUAUUCCUUUGUCCUUUCAUAUACAGCUGCUUAAAUUAGCUUUAAGUUCCCUGAAGGUAGGAAUAGGUUUAUUUUCAAACUGUGUUCCGGAUCUAGCACCUUGCUUAAUCAAUGUUAAAUAGUAACAGUGAAUUUUAAUUGGCUUAUUUUCAGAGCAUCAGAUUAAAUUAUUCUGCUAAUUAA
rnacentral:lncRNA from 1 species